UGCAGUCGAGCGAACAGAUAGGAGCUUGCUCCUUUGACGUUAGCGGCGGACGGGUGAGUAACACGUGGGUAACCUACCUAUAAGACUGGGAUAACUUCGGGAAACCGGAGCUAAUACCGGAUAAUAUUUCGAACCGCAUGGUUCGAUAGUGAAAGAUGGUUUUGCUAUCACUUAUAGAUGGACCCGCGCCGUAUUAGCUAGUUGGUAAGGUAACGGCUUACCAAGGCGACGAUACGUAGCCGACCUGAGAGGGUGAUCGGCCACACUGGAACUGAGACACGGUCCAGACUCCUACGGGAGGCAGCAGUAGGGAAUCUUCCGCAAUGGGCGAAAGCCUGACGGAGCAACGCCGCGUGAGUGAUGAAGGUCUUCGGAUCGUAAAACUCUGUUAUUAGGGAAGAACAUACGUGUAAGUAACUAUGCACGUCUUGACGGUACCUAAUCAGAAAGCCACGGCUAACUACGUGCCAGCAGCCGCGGUAAUACGUAGGUGGCAAGCGUUAUCCGGAAUUAUUGGGCGUAAAGCGCGCGUAGGCGGUUUUUUAAGUCUGAUGUGAAAGCCCACGGCUCAACCGUGGAGGGUCAUUGGAAACUGGAAAACUUGAGUGCAGAAGAGGAAAGUGGAAUUCCAUGUGUAGCGGUGAAAUGCGCAGAGAUAUGGAGGAACACCAGUGGCGAAGGCGACUUUCUGGUCUGUAACUGACGCUGAUGUGCGAAAGCGUGGGGAUCAAACAGGAUUAGAUACCCUGGUAGUCCACGCCGUAACGAUGAGUGCUAAGUGUU
rnacentral:rRNA from 1 species